AGGAAGUGGCAACCCACUCCAGCAUUCUUGCUUGGAGAAUCCCAUGGACAGAGGAGCCUGGCGGGCUAUAGUCCAUGGGGUCACAAAGAGUCAGACACGACUGAGCAACUAAACAACAAUAGCAACAUAGUGGGAACAGCUUGUCUCUGCCCGUCACAUCUGGGGCCUCAGCUGGAAGGUCUGACAAUUGGAGGGCAAUCCAGUGGCUAGGGGCUGGAAUCAUGGGGUGCUUUUACUCACCUGUCUGGCAAUUGAUACUGGCUGUUGGCUGGGACCACAACUGGGCUAUAGGCCAGAACAUCAACAUGAGGCAUCUCCUUGUGGGCUUUUGAGCUUCCUCACAAGAUGGCAGCUCAUUCCAAGAAUGAGUCAUUCAAGAGAAUAAGGAGAAAUUGCGUGAUACUCUAUGAACUAGCUUCAGAGAUCCCCAAGCAUCACUUCUUCUACACUAUUGGUCAAAGAAGUCACAAAGUUCACCAGCUUCAGAGAUGCAGUCCCCGUGGGAGGAGUAUCCAGGCAACAUUAUGAGAGAAACACAGGAGAUUGGAGGUAUUGUUGUGGCCAUCUUUGAGAAAUACAAAAUGCCAAAGCAAUCACCACUAACACCUAAAUAAUAUCAGUCAUGGGUCUAACCAUUUAAAUACAUAAAAUAAGCCUGCCAAUUAGACGCCAUUUUUUAUCUGCAUUUUAUAGAUCAAUAAACUGAGGAUAGGCCAUGUAUCUGUGAUGGAGUGGAGGAUCCUUUGAAGAAGAGGAGGCCAUACUAUAAGGGAUGAAGGGGCAGUAAAAUUGCUCUGCAUCAGUGGUACCCAAAUUUGGUCCUGAGACCUGCAGCAUCAGCAUCCCCUGGGAACUUGUCUGAAGUGCAAAUCCUCAGGCCCAACCCCAGACCUUCUGAUCAAGAACCCUGGGGAGGAUUCCCAGGAAUCUGUGUUUUCACAAGCCCUCCAGCAAUGAAGACCUAGCGCGACUGAAAGGAAGAUCCUUACACCCACGGCGGAGCGCUUAUAGACAAAGAGGAGCACCGAUGAUUGACUGCAGCAUUGACAAAAUUUGCGGGAAAAAAAACCUGAAAAUAAACCAGCUGAAGAUUGGUUAAAUAGAUGAUGGCAUGUCUAUAUAAUGAAUAUGAAGUUACUAUCUAAAAAUAAAAAUGAAAUAUACAUACUGACCUGGAAAGAUGCCCGUGAUGUUAACAGGGGAAAAAAUGCAAAUAUCAAAACAGUGAGUGUAGCAUGUGCCUAUUUUGAAAAAUAAAAGUCAUUCAAGGACUGCCGUGUGUGUGUAUAUGUGUGAAUGUUCCCUCAAAAAAGACCAUCAAG
ensembl:lncRNA